rnacentral:lncRNA from 1 species
AUUUUAUAUCAAUUACAUGACAGACAUGACUCACAUAAAUAUGGAAGAAGGAGUGGCCAUUUACUAGCAUCCUUGUAAAAUAGAAAGCAGUGUCCCUUGAACAAAAUUUCAUUUUACCUGGACUGUGUUUAACUAACAGCCAGCAUAGGAAUCACCUGGCAACGAGCCUGGGAUCUUGAGAUCGCAGCACUGGAACUACAGGAACUUUCUCAAGCUCUGUGGAAAAAUCUGCCUGCUGCUGCUGGUGGUAACACGUACAUAAGACUGAAACACAGCAAAAGGACAAAGCAGCUUAGAAUUUCCACAGUUGGAACAGACAGAAGACAUUUGACACAUCCACAUCGUUCCAUAUGCUGAGACCCAAGACCUGCUGUCAGUAAUCUCAAAAUCAUUGCAAAAUGCUCUCUCAUCCUACACCCAUAUCUGUGAUCAGGAUUCUGGAAUGGACAUUUUCUCCUCCCUCUUUUAUUUUUAUCUAACCAUUUUUAUAGAUCUUCAGUAAAUUUCUUUCAGGAAAAUAAGAUCACUGUUAAAAUCAUGAUUUUGGCUGGCUGAUGAAAUUUUCCAGAUUAUCUUCUUUAAAAGACUACA